UCCCCCUAGUAACGGCGAGUGAAGAGGGAAGAGCCCAAGAUUGAAAGCUGGCGCCUUCGGCGUCCGCAUUGUAAUCUCAAGAAGUGUUUUCCGCUUCGGACCAUGCCUAAGUCCCUUGGAAAAGGGCAUCAUAGAGGGUGAUAAUCCCGUACAUGGCAUGGAGCGCCCGAAGCUUUGUGAUACGCUUUCUAAGAGUCGAGUUGUUUGGGAAUGCAGCUCAAAAUGGGUGGUAAAUGCCAUCUAAGGCUAAAUAUUGGGGAGAGACCGAUAGCGAACAAGUACAGUGAUGGAAAGAUGAAAAGAACUUUGAAAAGAGAGUUAAACAGUACGUGAAAUUGCCAAAAGGGAAGGGUAGGAGGUCAGAGAUGCGUCGCAGGAUUCAGCCUUGCUUUUGCUUGGUGUUUUUCCUGCGUUGCAGGCCAACGUCGGUUUUGGGCACUGGAGAAGGGUAGGAGNAACGUGGCACCUCUCGGGGUGUGUUAUAGCCUCCUACUGGAUACAGCGACCGAGACCGAGGAACGCAGCGUACUCGUAAGAGCGGGCCUUUUGGCACCUUUACGCUUAGGGCGUUGGCAUAAUGGCCCUCUACCACCCGU
rnacentral:rRNA from 1 species